GCCCUCGAUGGCUUAGUCGGAUAGAGCUCCUGCCAUGUAAGCAGGAGAUCCCGGGUUCGAGUCCUGGUCGGGGCA